AGAUGAUGUAGUGGGUAAUAUGAGUGGAAAUUGUACGAAAAGCAUGAGCUUUGGACGCUGAUUCGACCACCGAGUCCUUGAGUCGUUUUAGUCUUUGAGAAUCUAAACACCUUUGGUAAUAUAUAUAUAUAUAUAUAUAGCCACACACCGUCCCGUUCAAAACCAAGUUGCGAAAUCAAGUAGAGUUUGAAUUAUUGGAUUGCAGAGUAGAAAAAAUGGGAGCGAAUGAAAGCAGGGAAGGGUCUGGAAACAAUGAGGAAAAUGGUGGUGACUUGCGCAACGACAAGGCUGACUUGUCCACUGGUGCAAUUGCAGCUGGCGCUGUGGCAGGAGCGGCUCUGCUGGCCUAUGGUUUAUCCCGUCUGGUUUCAGGUUCAGGUUCAGAAUCAGAACCAAAGCAGAAGGGGAAGACGAUGAAAGCUCCGGGCCGAGGAGGCGAGCAAAUCUUAAGGGAUGAUUUUGCGCGUGACCCUAAAGGUUAUUUCAAAGACCUCCACCGCAAAUAGAUAGCCAGUGAGGGAGGGAGAGUGGGAGGAUUUUGCAGUUUCCUUUAUAUCAAUAAAUAUACUGCUGUGCGUGGCUUUUCUUUCUCUUGUAUGUUCUGUUGUUUGACGUUAUAUAUAUUUUGGUGUUUUUGUAGCUCAUUCUCUUUGUUCUGCUGGAUUGAGUUCUGAAUUCAAA